rnacentral:rRNA from 1 species
AUGUCCUACGGGACGCAGCAGUGGGGAAUAUUGGGCAAUGGGCGCAAGCCUGACCCAGCAACGCCGCGUGAAGGAAGAAGGCUUUCGGGUUGUAAACUUCUUUUCUCAGGGACGAAGCAAGUGACGGUACCUGAGGAAUAAGCCACGGCUAACUACGUGCCAGCAGCCGUGGUAAUACGUAGGUGGCAAGCGUUAUCCGGAUUUACUGGGUGUAAAGGGCGUGUAGGCGGGAAAGCAAGUCAGAUGUGAAAACCACGGGCUCAACCCUUGGACUGCUUUGGAAACUGUGCUGCUGGAGUGUCGGG